GAUUUCUGAACACGUGAAUGUGAUCGGCCACGGUUUCGUGUGUUAGUGUUAUAUUCUGCGGUUCAUCCUUUCAUAAUGCGUAUAUAUUUAUCUUCAUUGAUAGAUCAUAUAUCAUUUGAAUCUUUUACUUUGAAAAAAUUAGAGUGUUUCAAGCAGGCUUAAUGCUAUGAAUACAUUAGCAUGGAAUAAUAAUUUAGGACUUCGGUUCUAUUUUGUUGGUUUCUAGGACUGAAGUAAUGAUUGAUAGGGAUAGUUGGGGGUGCUAGUAUUCAGCGGCCAGAGGUGAAAUUCUCGGAUUCGCUGAAGACUAACUUAUGCGAAAGCAUU
rnacentral:rRNA from 1 species